GCGCCUCUCUGGCAGCACAUAUAAUAUAAUGAGAAUGGUGCUGAGAUUAUCCUGGCCCCUACGGUAGGAUGACACUAAAAUAUGUGAAAUGUUCCAUAUUUUG
ensembl:snRNA U6 U6 spliceosomal RNA